rfam:Porphyromonas gingivicanis strain COT-022_OH1391 contig_15, whole genome shotgun sequence.
GCGAAAAAUAAGUAAGGGCAGACGGUGGAUGCCUAGGCUCUCGGAAGCGAAGAAGGACGUGAUAAGCUGCGAUAAGCUGCGGGUAUUGGCACAUACAAAUUGAUCCGCAGAUUUCCGAAUGGGGCAACCCGUUAGGUAGGAGACCUAACACUAUGUAAAUACAUAGGGCAUACGUGGGGAACUGAAACAUCUAAGUACCCAUAGGAGAAGAAAACAAAAGUGAUUCCCUUAGUAGUGGCGAGCGAACGGGGAUUAGCCCAAACCGUAGAUGUUUCGGCAUUUGCGGGGUAAUAGGAUCUUUCAACAAAGAUAUAUUUCGGUUUAGUAGAAGUAGUUGGAAAGCUACACCAUAGAGUGUGAUAGUCACGUAGACGAAAAGCUAAAUUAUAUCGAGAGAGACACCUGAGUAACCCGGGACACGUGUAAUCCUGGGCGAAUUAGCGGGGCCCAUCCCGUAAGGCUAAAUAUACCCGAGAGACCGAUAGUGGACAAGUACCGUGAGGGAAAGGUGAAAAGAACCUCGAACAGAGGAGUGCAAUAGAUCCUGAACCCGUCUGCUUACAAGCGGUAGGAGCACCUUUAAGGUGUGACUGCGUGCCUUUUGCAUAAUGAACCUACGAGUUACCUUUUCUGGCAAGGCUAAGUAACGAUAGUUAUGUACCCGUAGCGAAAGCGAGUCUGAAUAGGGCGUAUAGUCAGAGGAGGUAGACGCGAAACCAAGUGAUCUACCCUUGGCCAGGUUGAAGGUUAGGUAACACUAACUGGAGGACCGAACUGGUAAGCGUUGAAAAGCUUUCGGAUGAGCUGAGGGUAGGGGUGAAAGGCUAAUCAAACUUGGAGAUAGCUCGUACUCCCCGAAAUGCAUUUAGGUGCAGCCUUAGGAGUUUCUUGUAAGAGGUAGAGCGACUGAUUGGAUGCGAGGCUUUCACCGGCUAUCAAGUCCAGACAAACUCCGAAUGCUUACAAUUUAUAUCCUAGGAGUGAGGGCAUGGGUGCUAAGGUCCAUGUCCGAGAGGAGAAGAAUCCGGACCAUCGGCUAAGGUCCCUAAAUCACUGCUAAGUUGGACAAACGCGGUCAAGAUGCGAAGACAGCUAGGAUGUUGGCUUGGAAGCAGCCAUUCAUUUAAAGAGUGCGUAACAGCUCACUAGUCGAGGAUUUUGGCAUGGAUAAUAAUCGGGCAUAAGCAGUGUACCGAAGCUGUGGGAUGUUUAAUACAUCGGUAGGGGAGCAUUCUUAUUGGGGCAGAAGGUAUCAGGACGACUGAUGCUGGACCUAUAAGAAAAGCAAAUGUAGGUAUAAGUAACGAUAAAGGGGGUUAGAAACCCCCUCGCCGAAAGACCAAGGUUUCCUGAUCAACGCUAAACGGAUCAGGGUCAGUCGGGACCUAAGCAGUAGCCGAAUGGCGUAUGCGAUGGAUGAACUGGUUAAUAUUCCAGUACUAAUAAUAUGAGUGAUGUGGCGACGGAGAAGUGACAAUGCUGCCAACUGACGGAAUAGUUGGUUAAAGGGUGUAGGAGUUGAUUGGCGUAGGCAAAUCCGCGCUGAGAUCUGAACCUGAAAGUACGAAGCGUGCUUGCACAAUUCGAUAUGCAUGUAAUCAGGCUCCCAAGAAAAACCGCUAAACAUAUUGUAUUAUUACCCGUACCGUAAACCGACACAGGUGGUUGGGUUGAGUAUACUAAGGCGCUCGAGUGAUUCGCGGUUAAGGAACUAGGCAAAAUAGUCCUGUAACUUCGGGAUAAAGGACGCCUCUAUAGAGAUAUAGAGGCCGCAGUGAAAAGGCCCUGGCGACUGUUUAACAAAAACACAUGGCUAUGCAAAAUAGAAAUAUCACGUAUAUAGCCUGACACCUGCCCGGUGCUGGAAGGUUAAGAGGAGAGGUCAUCAGCAAUGAGAAGCUUUGAAUUGAAGCCCCAGUAAACGGCGGCCGUAACUAUAACGGUCCUAAGGUAGCGAAAUUCCUUGUCGGGCAAGUUCCGACCUGCACGAAUGGUGUAACGAUCUGGGCACUGUCUCAACCGCGAGCUCGGUGAAAUUGUAGUAUCGGUGAAGAUGCCGAUUACCCGCAACGGGACGAAAAGACCCCGUGAACCUUUACUAUAGCUUUACAUUGUAGCCGGGUAUUAGAUGUGUAGGAUAGGCCGGAGACUGAGAAUUGGUGACGCCAGUCAUCAAGGAGUCGCUGUUGAAAUACGGCCCUUUUACUAUUUGGCUACUAACGCGCUAAGUGCGGACAGUGUAUGGUGGGUAGUUUGACUGGGGUGGUCGCCUCCAAAAGCGUAACGGAGGCUUCUAAAGGUACCCUCAGGCCGAUUGGUAACCGGUCGUAGAGUGUAAUGGCAUAAGGGUGCUUGACUGGGAGACAAACAAGUCGCACAGGUAGGAAACUAGAGCAUAGUGAUCCGGUGGUUCCGUAUGGAAGGGCCAUCGCUCAAAGGAUAAAAGGUACUCCGGGGAUAACAGGCUGAUCGCUCCCAAGAGCUCAUAUCGACGGAGCGGUUUGGCACCUCGAUGUCGGCUCGUCACAUCCUGGGGCUGGAGAAGGUCCCAAGGGUUGGGCUGUUCGCCCAUUAAAGUGGCACGCGAGCUGGGUUCAGAACGUCGUGAGACAGUUCGGUCUCUAUCUGUUGUGGGCGCAGGAUAUUUGCGAGGCUCUGACACUAGUACGAGAGGACCGUGUUGGACUGACCUCUGGUCUAUCGGUUGUACCGCCCGGUGCACAGCCGAGUAGCUAUGUCGGGAUUGGAUAAGUGCUGAAAGCAUCUAAGCACGAAGCCAGCCUCAAGAUUAGAUAUCCAUAUAGGGAGGUUGUAGACGACGACCUAGAUAGGCUACAGGUGUAUAGGUGGUAACAUCACAGCUGAGUAGUACUAAUUUCCCAAAAUUUUUCGCGA